UACGUAGGAGACGAGCGUUGUCCGGAGUUACUGGGCGUAAAGGGUGCGCAGGUGGCGGCGCGCGUGGGGGGUGAAAUCGCCCGGCUUAACUGGGCGGGGGCCUUCCAGACGGCGUGGCUUGAGCAGCGGAGGGGGACGUGGAAUUCCGGGUGGAGCGGUGAAAUGCAUAGAUAUGACCCGGAACACCGAUUGCGAAGGCAGCCCGCUAAGCAACUAUUGACGCUGAGGCACGAAAGCGUGGGGAUCAAACAGG
rnacentral:rRNA from 1 species